AGCGACAGGCCUAACACAUAGCAAGUCGAGGGGGCAGGCACAAGGAGCAAUCUGAGGUGGCGACCGGCGGCACGGGUGAGUAACACGUAUGCAACCUGCCUGUAAGCGGGGAAUAACCCGUUGAAAGACGGACAAUAACCGCAUAAUACUAAAUUACUGCAUGGUAAUUUAUUUAAACAUUUAAUGGCUUACAGAUGGGCAUGCGCAUGAUUAGCUAGUUGGAGAGGUAACGGCUCCCCAAGGCAACGAUCAUUAGGGUUCUGAGAGGAAGGUCCCCCCACACUGGUACUGAGACACGGACCAGACUCCUACGGGAGGCAGCAGUGAGGAAUAUUGGUCAAUGGACGAGAGUCUGAACCAGCCAAGUCGCGUGCAGGAAGAAUGUCCUAUGGAUUGUAAACUGCUUUUGCAGGGGAAUAAAGUGCAUCACGUGUGAUGUUUUGUAUGUACUCUGCGAAUAAGGAUCGGAAAACUAACUCCGUGCCAGCCGCCGC
rnacentral:rRNA from 1 species